AACGAACGCUGGCGGCGUGGAUAAGACAUGCAAGUCGAACGGGAUUUUAUUUGUAGCAAUACACGUAAAGUCUAGUGGCGUAAGGGUGCGUAACACGUGGGCAAUCUGCCGAGAAGUGGGGGAUAGCUCGCCGAAAGGCGAAUUAAUACCGCAUGUUGUUAGUGAAGACAUCUUCGCGAUACCAAAGCCGGGGCAACCUGGCGCUUCUUGAUGAGCCCGCGGCCUAUCAGCUAGUUGGUGAGGUAACGGCUCACCAAGGCUAUGACGGGUAGCUGGUCUGAGAGGACGACCAGCCACACUGGAACUGAGACACGGUCCAGACACCUACGGGUGGCAGCAGUCGAGAAUUUUUCUCAAUGGGGGAAACCCUGAAGGAGCGACGCCGCGUGGAGGAUGAAGGUCUUCGGAUUGUAAACUCCUGUCAUUUGGGAACAAUUGUUGGCGAUUAACUGUCGUCAGCUUGAUAGUACCAGAAGAGGAAGAGACGGCUAACUCUGUGCCAGCCGCCGCCGUAACAC
rnacentral:rRNA from 1 species